rnacentral:rRNA from 1 species
GGAAUGUAUAGUCCUCUUAUGAGGCUAGUUGUGUUUUGAAUAAAGGUAAAAGGUUAUAAAAUAAACAUAACACCAACUACGUUGGAUAAAAUUCUAGAUAGAAUACUGAUUAUGACUAUUUUCUAUCUAUAUGUCUUGACCAAAUUACGUGCCAGCAGUCGCGGUAAUACGUAGAAGACUAGUGUUAUUCAUAUUUAAUAGGUUUAAAGGGUACCUAGACGGUAUUAUUAACCCAAAACAGGGAAAUAUUUUUACUAGAGUUUUAUAUAAGAAGGGAGAAUUUAGGGAGUAGAGAUGAAAUUCUUUGAUACUCUGAGGACUGGUAAAGGCGAAAGCACCCUCCUAUGUAAUAACUGACGUUAAGGGACGAAGGCUUGGGGAGCGAACAGGAUUAGAUACCCUAGUAGUCCAUGCAGAUAAUUAUGAAUGCCAUAGACUAGAUAUAUUUUAGUUUAUAAAUGAAAGUGUAAGCAUUCCACCUCAAGAGUACUGUGGCAACGCUGGAACUGAAAUCAUUAGACCGUUUCUGAGAACAGUAGUGAAGUAUGUUAUAUAAUUCGAUAGUCCUCGUAAAACCUUACCACAACUUGAAUGGUGUCCAGAUUAAAUUUAAUAUUCUUUGUAUAGCUGCCUAGUAUAAUUUAAAAAUUUAUAUUAGCUAGAUCUGAUAAAGAUAUUAAAUUAAUAGGAUGUUACAAGUGUUGCACGGUUGUCUUCAGCUAAUGUCGUGAGAUUUUGGUUAGUUCCAUAAAAUUAGCGUAAACCCCGGUUUUAUUUUUUAAUUAUUAUUAUGAUAAAGCAGUUCGUCACUAUAUUGAUAUAUGAU